rnacentral:sRNA from 2 species
UUGUAAAUUAGACGGUGCAGUAUUCUAGUCGGCUGAUUCGAUUUCGAAGGCGGGCCUAAAAAUCCGCUGUCGGGCAUAUCGAUGAAGUUCCUGGUGUCCGCUUUGGACGCCCAGUCUGGGGUGGAUGCUGGGAGUUAAGGUUGCGGGGCGUUUCGCAAUGGCAUGUGAAGUUCGUACCUGCUUCCGUGGAGACUUAAGCUUGUGGCCUUUCUCUUCUGUGCCUUUGGGCGCAAGGAGGAGGCUACGACUUAGGAUAAGAACCUACUAUGCGGUGUUUCUGCUGUGAGUAGAGUAGCCUGCCUUGAAGUGGAUAUGGGGGACGUGAGAUCAGAUUUCUGCCUAGAGGCCUAUAGGCAGAGGUUAUCGCUCAUUGAAACCAUGUUUGCAAAAGAGGCUAAGAUUCGAUGAAAGUCGUUGAGGAAAUCUUCUAGACUGUUUUAUAAGUAAUUUGUGGAUUGCAGUGUGGACUAAGUGGUGAUCAAGUUUUGCAUCAGGCGACUAUGCAAAAAAGGGUUUAAUGGGGAACCACCGCUACGGCAACGGGCGGCACUCUUUUAGGAAAUCUUACUUGACCUAAGCCACAAACUUUACACAAAUUAUCACCGUCUACUUUUUA